rnacentral:rRNA from 1 species
AACGAACGCUGGCGGCAUGCCUAACACAUGCAAGUCGAACGAGACCUUCGGGUCUAGUGGCGCACGGGUGCGUAACGCGUGGGAACCUGCCCUUAGGUUCGGAAUAACUCCCCGAAAGGGGUGCUAAUACCGGAUAAUGUCUUCGGACCAAAGAUUUAUCGCCUUUGGAUGGGCCCGCGUUGGAUUAGCUAGUUGGUAGGGUAAAAGCCUACCAAGGCGACGAUCCAUAGCUGGUCUGAGAGGAUGAGCAGCCACACUGGGACUGAGACACGGCCCAGACUCCUACGGGAGGCAGGAGUGGGGAAUAUUGGACAACGGGCGAAAGCCUGAUCCAGCAAUGCCGCGUGAGUGAUGAAGGCCUUAGGGUUGUAAAGCUCUUUUACCCGGGAUGAUAAUGACAGUACCGGGAGAAUAAGCUCCGGCUAACUCCGUG